CCCUUAGAUGUCCGGGGCCGCACGCGCGCUACACUGAAGGAAUCAGCGUGGCUUUCUCCCUGACCCGAAAGGGUUGGGAAACCCGUUGAAUCUCCUUCGUGAUAGGGAUUGGGGCUUGAAAUUGUUCCCCAUGAACGAGGAAUUCCCAGUAAGCGCGAGUCAUAAGCUCGCGUUGAUUACGUCCCUGCCCUUUGUACACACCGCCCGUCGCUACUACCGAUUGAACGGUUAGUGAGGGCCUCGGAUUGGUCUCGGCCCGCUCUUUACCGGGCGGCGCCGUUGGUCGAGAAGACGCUCGAACUUGAUCGUUUAGAGGAAGUAAAAGUCGUAACA
rnacentral:rRNA from 1 species